CGCACUCGGAGGGUGACGCCAUCGCCGAGCGCCGGCCCCUCCUCCCGUCUCGGCCACUGCCGCCGCCAUGGAGUCCAACAGGGACGAGGCGGAGCGCUGUAUUGCCAUCGCCGUGGCCGCCAUCAAGGCCAGCCAGCCCGACAAGGCGCUCCGCUUCCUGGAGAAGGCCCAGCGCCUCUACCCCUCCCAGCGGGUCCGCGUGCUGAUCGAAUCCCUCACCAAGAAUGAACAAUCAGCCAAUGGCCAGUCCAAAUCCAGGGAGUCCACAAAUGCCCACUUUAGGAAAAUGAGUGGAGACUUCCCAUCAGCCAAUGGGGAGGCAGGUGGGGAGACUAGCAAAGGUUACACCCAAGAUCAGGUGGAUGCAGUUAAGAGGGUAAAGCAGUGUAAAGAUUACUAUGAAAUUCUAGGAGUGAACAGAGAGGCCUCUGACGAGGACCUGAAAAAGGCUUACCGAAAACUAGCACUGAAAUUUCACCCAGAUAAGAACCACGCGCCAGGUGCUACAGAAGCAUUCAAAGCCAUUGGUAAUGCAUAUGCAGUAUUGAGCAACCCAGAGAAGCGGAAGCAAUAUGACCAGUUUGGAGAUGAGAAAGUCAACCCUUCAAGACAUGGACACAGUCACACAGACUUCCACCGUGGAUUCGAAGCAGACAUCUCACCUGAGGAUCUCUUCAACAUGUUCUUUGGUGGUGGAUUUCCUUCUAGUAAUGUUCACGUAUACAGCAAUGGCAGGAUGCGAUAUACCUACCAUCAGAGGCAUGACAGACGAGAACAUCAGGGUGAUGGUGGCCUUGGGUUGUUUGUCCAGCUGAUGCCUAUUCUCAUCCUGAUAAUUGUUUCAGCUCUCAGCCAGAUGAUGGUCUCCAGCCCACCUUACAGUUUGAGCCACAGGCCGUCUGUGGGUCACAUACACAGGAGAGUGACGGAGCACUUGAAAGUAGCUUACUAUGUAGCUGAGAACUUUGCAGAAGAGUACACUGGUACAAACCUGAAAAAUGUUGAGAGGAGUGUGGAAGACGAUUACAUUGCAAACCUUAGAAAUAACUGCUGGAAGGAAAAGCAACAGAAGGAAGGCUUGCUUUAUCGAGCACGUUACUUUGGAGAUUCAGAUUUGUAUCAAAGAGCACAGAGGAUGGGCACCCCAAGCUGUAGCAGACUGUCGGAAGUUCAAGCCUCCAUGCAUGGAUAGUAACUACUAGACCACUCAGCGGAGGUCUAAGUACGAGCCGGUGAUUUUCCUGUGACACUGAAGCAUGACACAUCAAUGAUUUUCAUACUUAUUUAAAUCUCUGAGAUCUAGAUCUUCAUGUGUCUCUCCUCUCAAUGUGCAUGUGUAACAAGGAGAAAGCAUAACCCUCUGUUAAGCAUAUACACCUUCACUGGGAUGGUUGGUUUAAUUUGCAUGCCAGCACCUCAAAUGCUCUUCCAGUUCACAUCUGUUUCUUAGCAUUGCUGGUGUCAGCUCUCUGGGAGCAAAGUGAAAGGCCUGGGCAUGUUUGCAAGUCAACUGAGUUCUUGUCAAGCAUCCAUUUGAGACAAUGUCACUUUUUGCUUUGUCUGGUCAGAAGUUGUUCCCCUUACCAAGCAUUUAUCAGAUUGGGCAACUGGCAGUCACAUUUCUGUAGACAGUUUUUGUUGCUCUGUUGCCUAUUUUAUUGUACCAGGGCACUUGAAGAAAUAUGAUCACAGGGAAGAGAUUUCUGUAAGACAGAUGUUUCUUGUCCCUCUGCCGUCUUCCCUAGACACUCAGUGAAACCAAACCAAACUCUCACUGGAUGCAGCAGGUUGUAGAGACUCUUGAAAUGCCUGAAGACUUUUGGCGAAGUGCACUGAGCCAAGGUGACAGACUUUAUAUUUAAAGAAUCAAACCUUAAAUUAAAAUGGAAUUGGAGAAUUAGCAACGCACAACUGCCCUCUCUCUUCUCUCUCUCUCUCUCUCUCUCUGUCUCCAACGUUAGAUGCAGCAGGCAGCAGGUAGGAAAUAAAGCUGCCUGUCUUCUCCCCUUCUUUCCAACACCACUAGAGUGCGACAGUCUAGUCUCUCCUAGGAUACAGCAACCAUGAGAACAAGUGUAGAGUAUAAAAACAAACUGCAGCAAGCCAUGAAGCAGAAGGAGACCCUUCCAUGAUUGCACUGGGCACUUCGAACGGAGAGAGAAAUUGGAAGAUUUUUUUUUUUUAAGGACUAAAAACCAAUUAAGAAGAAAAGAAUCUAUCUAUUUAGAAUUAAUUUAUAGCUAUAUGUAUGUUGUACUUUUAAACUAUGCAGGGAUUGGAUUAAAUUAUUUAGUUUUCUGCCCAAUUUAGUAAACUGUAAAGUGUGAACUCUAACCUGUUUUGGGGGGCUGUGCAGCCCUGCAGACCUAUCCAAUUUCAGGUCGUCAUUUGAUGAUACUUUGCAUUUAUUUUAUUUUUUUUAUUUUGUUGAGGAAAAUACAAUUUUGUGACUGAGUUUUUUUUAUAAAAGAAUCUCUAAAUCUGUAGAAAGAAGAUUUCUUAAAAUUGACCAGACCUCUGAUUUGUUUUUGCUGUAUUGAUUUAAUUGCUGGCAGUCAACAGUGUUGGAUUCUUGUACAGCAAGGAGAGGAUUGUCAUAAAUGGUCUUAGCUCAUCAGUGUUCAAUUGGUUUAUGUGUGUGUGUUAACUUUUUUUUUUUCCAGAGUCUGCUUUAUUUCUGCCUUGUAAUCAGUGUGCAGCAUUAGUUCUGUAAACAGGGCCUGCCACGAGCUAUGUCCUUUUGUUCUUAUCUUUCCUAAACUCAGAGUUCCUCAUCCAGCAGACUGCUAACUGUAAUAGGGCUGUUACCUUGCCAUAACACUUCUGAUGUUUCAACCUGUAUUGAAAUCCCCAAAAACAGAGUCUUUGAUUCUGGUGAAAAGUUUUGGUGGGGAGAUCAGAAAGAGGGGGAUGGUUAAUCUUCGGUUGCUUUACGUGCUAUACGUUUUACCCAUUUUUUAGUAAUGGUUUUGCCCAUCAUGCAUUUUAGAAGAAGAAAUGAUGCUGCUAAAAGCCUUGGGGUACCUGCUUGAGUAAGCAGGACCCGGAUUAGAGCAACAGGAUAGCGCUCAAGGUUAUUCUAAACCCAGUGCAUCUCUUUGACAUAUGAAGUGAGAGAGGCAAAAGUUGAAUGAGCUAAGUUACCAUUAAUGGCAUAAACUGGAUUCUUCUCUACCCUGUUGUUAAUUUUUGCCUGAAGACGUUUCCUAUAAGAACAGUUUUCAGAGUUCCCUUAUGGUGGAAUUUAUCAAAAUAGCAAUGGCUGCCAAGUAAGGUGGUAAGGGGGUGGGAGAAAAGUGAAAGGCCAGAUGGUUUUAUUUCUGUUUGCUGUUUGAAAUUGACCAGCUCUAUUUUUUAACUGGAUAUUUAUGUAGCAAAAUGGUUCUGAGCCCUCCUGUUCAUUGCAAGCCUUACUAUCCACUACUGUGAUGUAUCUGAUCUGAUUUCAAGUUUUAAAAGAUAUCCCCCAGGUCUUUGGAGAGGGAUAUGGUGGAAAUAAAAUAUUUUGGAAUAAAUGCUGUUUACAGAGGCACACGAGCUACCCAGCAUUAGGAGAUGUUGGAGGGGAAAUGUGAGAGACCAUUCAUGUUUGCAAAAGGUGCUGACAUCUUUCAAAAUGGCACUCCUGCUCCAGUGCCCAUCCAACCAAAUCUUUUGAUUUCUCAAGUAGAUAUCCAUGGAUGGUAAGCGCUAUGUGCAAUAAAGCAUAGAUCCUAAAGGAUACUCACAGAAUCUGUAUUUCUUGAUUUAGAAUUAAUUAUACAAUUGUACAUCUAUAAAUAAAUGUUUAUUAUGUGAGA